ensembl:lincRNA
CCCAGCCCGGCAGCGAGGCGCGGCUGUGAGCCCUCCUCAGACAGCAGUGGGGACGUGCAGUCUGGCCUUGCAGCACCUGACGCAGCCAUUCCUGGAGCAUGAGCCGCGGGCCCUGGCUGAAGCUGAGGCCUGCCAGACCCAGAGAGUGCGAAGCCCCCGGUGACCAGUUUCCAGAAGACAGCCCUUCCAAAGAAAUUGGCCUCAGGCUGAAAAAAAUUGGCAUUCUUUCAGAGAAACAACCCCCUGUUCCAGAAGGAAUGGUUUGAAGACUAGCCAGCUUCAGUGAAACAAUCUGAUCUCCAAUCAGACCAAAGUGCCAAAACAGUAUUCAUAUACAAAACAAGGCCUUAACCAGAAAGACGAAACUUUUGAAAAGAUCCUGGGUAAACCUGGAGCACUUCAAACAUAAAGAGCAUGUAAACUCAGUCAGAUCCAAGAAAAAGAAAAACUAUCAAAAUCCAGGGUUUUGUGAGAUAAGCAAGGACUCCAAAAAUGCAAAAGGAAUUUGUGGUACUGCAGUCCUCUGGUAUAUACUUCUCAAAUUAAACAGCCAUUCAAUUUAUAUUGGACUUAUUUUACCAAUGAAGGCUGGCAGAAUAUACCACCCCCAAAUAUGUUGCUCUGGCAUGUUGACCCUUUUGAGUUAAAUGCACUUGGAAAACAGAAAAUGCAAGAACGCUGUUCCUUUUUUUUUUUCUUCUUCUUAAGAACAGGAGAUGAAUUGCCCAUGUGAAAGCCAUCCUUCCCAUGUAGUUGAGCAGGACCUGUAAGGUCUUCCUGGGACAGAACCCCCACACCUCCAUAGCAUGUCCUCCACCUGCAUCUUGUCUAUAGAAAAACUUUAGCAUCCUAGGUCUUCCCUGAGUUCCAAAGGAUAAAUCUAAUCAGAGAAGUGAGAAAAGUGAGAGAAGUGAACAGGAAGAAAGGAAAACAAUCAAGCACGACAAAAUGAUAAUAGUUUAGCCAUAAACCAAAGUCAAGGACUUUAGUUCUUCCUCAACAGCUAUAGAUAAUAUUCUGAGCCAUGUCUUUUGAGCUGUUUUGAAGAAACUUAAAUUGCUGCCAGAUGGAAGAAGUUAGCUAUAUGCUGCCCGCAAGUGCAUAGGCCCCAGACUUGUGGAAACAGAAGGUUGACUCCCAAUUACCUCACUACCAACCAAUCAGAAGAAUGUCCAUGAGCUGAUUAUAUACUCCUCAGUCUUUCUCCCUCUGGAGAAGGAAAUGGCAACCCACUCCAGUAUUCUUGCCUAGAGAAUCCUGUGGACAGAGGAGCUUGGUGGGCUGCUGUCCAUGGGGUCGCACAGAGUGGGACACAACUGAAGUGACUUAGCAGCAGCAGCAGCAGCUUUCUCCCUCAGUUCAAUUCAGUACUCAGUCAUGUCUGACUCUUUGUGACCCCAUUGGCUGUGGCACAGCAGGCUUCCCUGUCCAUCACCAACUCCCGGAGCCUGCCCAAACAUGUCCAUUGAGUCGGUGAUGCCAUCCAAUCAUCUCAUCCUCUGUUGUCCUUCUCCCUCACGGUGUCUUUAAAAACUGUUCACUGAAAGCCAUUGGGGAGUUGGGCUUUUGAGCUCCAGCUUCCUGUGCUUCUUGCUUGGUGCCCUACAAUAAAGGCUACACUUUCGUUAACGACAACUUGGUGUCAGUAGAUUGGCUCUACUGUGCACAGGCGAACAGAACCAAGUUUGGUCACACCUGUAGCAGAAGAAAAAUAGUAUCCUUAUCAUCAUGAAUAAGAAGGUG